UUUGGCUUCUAUCUCAACCUUCAUCUGUCCUAUCUGUAUCUCUCUCUGCUCCAACCUCCCUCGUAACUCGGCUAACUCCAUCUGUGUUCGGUGAGCAGCGUCCUUGUACUGCUGUUCUGAAAUCUGGAGAGUAUGAUUUCGUGCCUCUACUUGCUCGGCUCUAACCUUUAAGUCAUCGUUCCUAACUAACAAAUCUCUUAUCAUCUCACUGUCUGUGUACUCCUCGCUAGAGUCCAUCGUCUCUUGGGUCAAGGAAUUACUUUCUUGACUUUCGUCAUUCAUCAUAUGACCACAAUAAUCG
rnacentral:lncRNA from 1 species